rnacentral:rRNA from 1 species
CAGUCGCCGCGGUAAGACAGAGGGUGCGAGCGUUAAUCGGAUUUACUGGGCGUAAAGCGUGCGUAGGCGGCUUCUUAAGUCGGAUGUGAAAUCCCUGAGCUUUACUUAGGAAUUGCAUUCGAUACUGGGAAGCUAGAGUAUGGGAGAGGAUGGUAGAAUUCCAGGUGUAGCGGUGAAAUGCGUAGAGAUCUGGAGGAAUACCGAUGGCGAAGGCAGCCAUCUGGCCUAAUACUGACGCUGAGGUACGAAAGCAUGGGGAGCAAACAGGAUUAGAUACCCCUGUAGUCCCUGUCUCUUAUAC